CAAGCUAAAAUGAUUGAAAUGCAAAAUAAAAGAUUUGAAGAGAUUGAGAAGUUUACGAGGAUGACCAAGGAUCAAGCAGGCAUGUAGGUUGAUGAAAAUGAUUAUUCAUUAGAAGAAUCUUAUUGACAAACACUUUUAUUGGCAAUGGUGGAAAAUAGUUUGGGUUGCAUCAGAAGAUUUGAUUUUGUGUUUUUGGAAAUAUUUUGACAUAGGAUUUUAGUAAAUGAUUUAUGGAUUAAAUGUUUAGCAUCAAAAUAUUUGGUGUUGUGUUUUUGCAAAUAUUUUGACAUAGAAUUUUAGUAAAUGACUUGUUGCUUAGAUGUUUAACAUCAAAAUAUUUGAUUGUAAUUUUGAAAAUAUUCUGACAUAAGAUUUGGUAAUGUAUUUAUGGGUUUGAUGUUAGUAGUUUGUAAAUACUUUGGUAUGGAUGUUUUAGAUUGUCAGAGAAUUGUAAUUAUGUUUAUUGGGAUUUUUCAUAGCUAUUAAUUUUGAAUUAGUAUGAAUGUCUUGCACAGGUGUAUAAUUAUUUACAUUACAUUUGUGUAUAUAUUGU